GACAGAGGUGCCGAGCGUUAGGCGGAAUUACUGGGCGUAAAGCGCACGUAGGCGGCUUGGUAUGUCGGGUGUGAAAUCCCCGGGCUCAACCUGGGAACUGCAUCCGAAACUGCCUUGCUAGAGUAUGGGAGAGGGAAGUGGAAUUUCCGGUGUAGCGGUGAAAUGCGUAGAUAUCGGAAGGAACAUCAGUGGCGAAGGCGACUUCCUGGACCAAUACUGACGCUCAGGUGCGAAAGCGUGGGGAGCAAACAGG
rnacentral:rRNA from 1 species